rnacentral:lncRNA from 1 species
AAGUUCUCACAAAAUAUCGUAGUUCGCUUCUACCGGAUAAUGCACAAGCAUUAAUUUAUGGACAUAAUUGAAUUUGUGGAUAUGAAAUACAAGGUUUGUUCUAGUUGUAAAUAUUUUUACUUUUAAUUGUAAUUUUUUUAGUUCAAUUUUGGGUAUUGAUAUUUUAAAUUGGUAUUUUUAAUAUAGAUGAUGGGCUGACGGACGACCAACUUUUGGUACCGCUAGUUGCAAAUCAAGAGUCAAAGGGUUUUAAUUCUAACAUGGGCGAAAUUACAAGGAGUGACUAAACAUUACUUACUAGUAAGUACUUCAAUUUUUAUGGACUAUUUCUUUGAUUUUUCAAGUACUAAGAAAAGGUAAUCUUGUGUACAAUCACAAACUAUAAGAUAAAUCCAAUUUGCUUGUUCUAAGUAAACUGCAAGAUGGCAAAAAAGGUUUCCUUUAUUUGCUUGUUCUAAUUAAAGUAUUCAUUAUCAGAAUUCAAGAAAAAAUGUGUAUGUCCCUAAUUGUAUAAAUAUAUUGUAACACUAGCUUUCAUAUGUGUAUGUAGGACUGAGACAAUAAUGCAAAUCCUUGACUAUUGACCUUCAUAUGUGUAAUUUGUUUUUAUACUACUAAUAUUACUUUUCACAUCUCGAGAAAAGUAAUGUCGACUAAUUUUAAAAAUUAAAGAUCCAUUAUUCUCUUUAAAUUUAUGCUCUCCUAUGCUGUAAUUAUAUAUGGACUUGAGAGAUUUUCUGCUUUGUCAUAUCAUUUCCGCUAGUUGCCCCUCCCACAUUGCAUAAUUAUAUAUAUAGAUAUAUAAACACACAUAUAUAGAAUAUUAUAUAUAUAUAUAUAUAUAUACAUUAAUUAUGUCUCAAAUAUUUGUCCAUAUCUCCCUUUACAUAUGUAUGUAUGCCCCUAAUUGUAUAAAUAUAUUGUGAACGAUGCAGAAGUAACAUUGUGUUGUGGCAGAGCAAAGCUACAUAUUACAAAGUAACACUGUGUUACUUUCAUAUGUUUAAGAGCCUGCACUACAAAAUAUUACUUUAGUUUGUAAUAUUGUAACAAAUAUACAGUGUUACUAGUGUAUACUAACACUAGAUUUGGUCUGCCACAAGACAUACACUUUUAUAGUUUCAGUUCUCCCAUAUAUAAUGACACAUUUAUGAAUCUUCCUGCACAGGAUGUCAUGCCAUUCUUGGACUGAGAAGAUGGGAUUGCAAGCAUGUUUUGGAGCUUAUUUUGUAAGACCCCAACUUAUUAUUAAAUAAAAUUGAAAUUCCUCUAUUUAUUAUUUUGAAAUAGUAAGGGUUGAUUUGAUUAAUGUGGUUAGUUAUGGAUAAAAUGCGCAAAUAUUUCAAAUAAGCAAGUGGUUAUAAAAUAUUCAUUGUUGUCGGAGAAUAUUCGUUUGGUCGUGAAAUAUUCUUACUGUCGGGGAAUAUUCGUACGACGGCGCAGCCUUGUGUGGGUCCCAUAACGGAAAGCGAUUAAAUGAAGAAAACGACAAGUAUAAGUUAUUUAUAAAUAACGGCGUAGUUGUUACCGUUAAUACUGUUGGAAUACCCGGUGGUUAAAACAUAGUAGCACACGGUAUUGCACCAAUUAUUGAUUCUUACGUAAGAAGGCACUACUCAAUAAUUGUUACAGUAAUUAAUGUUCAAUAUUUUAUUUUAUUGAUUCAGUAAUUGCUACAUUGAUAUUUUAUUGAUUCAGUAAUUGCUAUGUUGGUAAUCAUGGCCAUGAAAAUAGAAGAAGCGAGUCAGUGGGAGAUUUUAAAAAGAGGAGACUCAACAAUGACCAUGUGAAGACGUCAGCACCAGCAGUAACUGGUUCUAAGGGAGUAGAACGACCACCGGUCGUAUGCUAUAAAUGCGAAAAAGAGGGAUAUAUCAUCCCAAACUGCCCACAACAGUUCAAGGUAUGUUAUAAUUGUGGAAAGGAAGGACAUAUCGCUCGAGAUUGUACGAUAGCGAAACCAAGUCCAGGGGGGAAGGUGACUCAAAAGGCUGCCCAGAAAAGUCAAAGUCAACGGUUCCUGGAAGAGCGUUUGUCGUGACUGGUCAAAAUGCGAGGAACCCAAACGAGGUGAUCAUGAGUAAGCUAAUCAUAAAUUCUUACGAAGUUUAUACCUUACUAGAUACCGGUGCUACCUAUUCUUUUAUCUCUCCUACUUGUGCUUAACGUUUAAACUUGACUCUGGAGAAAUUAGACUUUGAUUUAUCUGUGGAGACUCCAUUAGGAGAAACUUUUAUCACAUCCAUUGUUUAUAAAUCUUGUUUAAUCCAAGUCGGCACCAUCACAUUACCUGUUGAUCUUAUCUCUUUAAAGAUACUUGCUUUUGAUGUGAUUUUAGAGAUUGAUUGGUUAACUACUCAUUAUGCCAAAAUUGAUUAUUUUCGUAAGGUUGUUAGUUUUCAUAUUCCUAACCAACCUGUUGUACGAAUUCAAGUAACUAAACCAUUAAAAUCAAUCACUGUCAUAUCAAGUCAUAAAGCUAUUCGUUUAUUGAAAAACGGAUGUCAUGCUUUCUUAGCCCAUGUUAUGGAUUUGAAUAAAGACACGUCGGAUUUGAAUAAUAUUUCUGUUGUAAGUAAAUUUUCUGACAUAUUUUCUGAAGAACUGCCCGGUCUACCCCCAGAACGUGAAGUUGAAUUCUUUAUUGAUCUUGAACCUGGUACAAAGCCCAUUUCUAAAAUCCCAUAUCGAAUGGCUCCUAUUGAACUUCAGGAGUUUAAAGUCCAACUACAGGAAUUAUUGGACAUCGAUUUCAUUCGUCCUAGUACAUCUCCUUUGGGUGCUCUUGUUUUAUUUGUAAAGAAGGAAUACGGGAGUAUGCGACUUUGUAUUGACUACCGGAAAUUGAACCAUGUCACCAUCAAGAAUAGGUAUCCGCUACCUCAUAUUGAUGACCUGUUUGACCAGUUGUAAAGAGAAAAAUUCUUUUCAAAGAUCCAUAUUCGUUCUGGAUAUCAUAAGCUGAAGAUUAGAACUGAGGAUAUUCCAAAGACUGCCUUCAGAACUCGGUACGGGCAUUAUGAAUUCUUAGUCAUGUCUUUUGGAUUGACUAAUGCUCCUGCGGCUUUCGUGGAUAUGAUGAACCGAGUAUUAAAGGACUAUUUGGAUCAGUUCAAUGUUGUCUUUAUUGAUGACAUUAUCAUAUAUUCCAAAAACCGUGAAGAUCAUGAGCACCAUUUGAAGCUGGUACUCCAAAGGCUUCGUGAAAAUAAACUAUAUGCCAAGUUGAAGAAAUGCAAGUUCUAGCUUGAGGAAGUAGCAUUCCUUGGGCACGUGGUGUCAAAACAUGGAGUAUCUGUUGACCCAGCGAAGAUUGAAGCAAUACAAAGUUGGGAGCAACCGAAGUCGGUGACCGAAGUACGUAGCUUUCUGGGCUUAGCUGGUUAUUAUCAGAGAUUCGUGGAAGGGUUUUCUCAAAUCGCUACUCCGUUAACUCAGUUGACUCGAAAGGAUACAAAAUUCGUAUGGAGCGAGGAAUGCGAAAAGAGUUUCCAAGAGCUUAAGAGGAGACUCAUUUCGGCACCUGUUCUGACAAUACCAUCUGGUUCGGAUGGAUAUGUUAUUUACAGCGAUGCUUCAGGCAAAGGGUUAGGAUGUGUUCUCAUACAACGUGGGAAAGUCAUAUAGCCUAUGCCUCGCGACAACUUAAAGAAUAUGAGAGGAAUUAUCCUACUCAUGAUCUAGAGUUGGCAACAGUCAUUUUCGCGCUAAAGAUCUGGAGGCACUAUCUAUACGGGGAGAAAGUGGAGAUAUAUUCAGACCAUAAAAACCUCAAAUAUUUCUUCACACAAAAGGAACUCAACAUGCGGCAACGAUGUUGGCUCAAGCUGUUAAAAGAUUAUGACCACACUAUUCAAUACCAUCCUGGAAAAGCGAAUGUGGUAGCUGACGCGUUGAGUAAAAAAUCAUAUGUAGGAACGAGUGCGAUGAUGUCAAGUAUAUGCAUAGAACCAACUUUAAUUGAUGAAGUUAAAGUUGCUCAAGCCACCGACCCGGAGCUGAUGCGUAUAAAGAAGAAAGUACAAGAAGGUGUUAUUCCAGAAGCAAGAAUCGAUGAAGAAGGAAUACUUCGAGUCCACUCCAGACUUUGUGUUCCUAACGAUUCUGAUUUGAAGUACAAGAUCAUGAUGGAGGCACACAAUACACCAUUUGCAAUCCAUCCUGGAAGUACCAAAAUGUAUCGUGAUCUUCGACAUACAUUUUGGUGGAACAAUAUGAAGAGAGAGAUUGCAAAGUUUAUCUCGAGGUGUUUAACUUGUCAACGUGUAAAGGCGGAGCAUCAAGUGCCUAAGGGUCCAUUGCAACCACUUGAGAUUCCGAAAUAGAAGUGGGAACACAUUACCAUGAAUUUCGUUACUGGUCUUCCUACGAUAUCUCAAGGCUAUUUGGGUUAUUGUUGAUAAAUUAACCAAGUCUGCUCAUUUCUUGCCGAUACGGGAGACUUAUUCCCUUGAACGUCUUGCUCGUAUGUACGUAAAUGAGAUUGUGAGAUUGCAUGGCAUGCCAGUAUCCAUAGUUUCGGAUCGUGACCCAAGAUUCACUUCACGAUUUUGGGUUAGCUUGCAAAAAGCUAUGGGCACGAAUUUACGAUUCAGUUCGGCAUACCAUCCUCAAACGGACAGACAAUCAGAGAGGACUAUUCAAACUCUUAAAGAUCUAUUAAGACUCUGUGUCCUAGACUUCAAAGGGAGUUAGGAUAAGUAUUUACCAUUGGUGGAAUUCUCCUACAACAACAGUUAUCAAACAAGUAUAGGGGUAGCUCCAUUCGAAGCAUUGUAUGGAAAGAAGUGUCGCUCUCUAGUAUGUUGGGAUGAGGUGGGUGAAGUAACAUUUUUGGGACCAGAGUUGGUACGUAUUACUACAGAAAAGAUCCAAAUGAUUCGACAACGUAUCCAAAAGGCACAGGAUCGACAAAAGAGUUAUAUAUGCGAAUCUUCAUCGAAAGGACGUGGAAUUUAGUAUUGGGGAUCAUGUAUUGUUGCGUGUUGCCCCAUGGAAGGGAGUUACAAGAUUUGGGAAGAGAGGAAAGCUCAAUCCACGAUUUAUUGGUCCAUUUCAGAUUCUUGACCGAGUAGGAAAUGUAGCCUAUAGACUCGCGUUACCUCCGAGUAUGUCUCGUGUUCAUAAUGUGUUUCACAUAUCUGUGUUUCGUAAAUAUGUGAAAGACCCGAACCAUGUUAUUGAGUUAGAACCGGACGAGAUAGCCAAAGACUUAACAUACGAAGAGGUACCUGUCAAGAUCUUGGAUAAGAAGGAGCAUGUCGUACGCACAAAGGUCAUACCACAAGUUAAAGUUUUGUGGAGGAACCAUGCUAUUGAGGAAAUGACCUGGGAGUUGGAAAUGAAAAUGAAAGCGAGGUAUCCUCACCUUUUCGAAACCCAAGGUACGUACGUCAAUUUCGAGGACGAAAUUUCAUAAGGAGGGGAGGUUGUAAGACCCCAACUUAUUAUUAAAUGAAAUUAAAAUUCCUCUAUUUAUUAUUUUGAAAUAGUAAGGGUUGAUUUGAUUAAUGUGGUUAGUUAUAGGCAAAAUGCGCAAAUAUUUCAUAUAAGCAAGUGGUUAUAAAAUAUUCAUUGUUAUCGGGGAAUAUUCGUUUGGUCGUGGAAUAUUCUUACUGUCGGGGAAUAUUCAUACGACGGAGCAGCCUUGUGUGGGCCCCAUAACGGAAAGCGAUUAGAUGAAGAAAACAAUAAGUAUAAAUUGUUUAUAAAUAACGACGUAGUUGUUACUGUUAAUACUGUUAGAAUACCCGGUGGUUAAAAUACAGUAGCACACGGUAUUGCACCAAUUAUUGAUUCUUACAUAAGAAGGCACUACUCAAUAAUUGUUACAGUAAUUACUGUUCAGUAUUUUAUUGAUUCAAUAAUUGCUACGUUUAUAUUUUAUAUUAUUGUUGUUUCAAUAAUUGUCACUGCACAAUAUUUUUAUUAUCAAGAUCAAUAAUUCAUAUUAUUUGAAUAAUAUUAUUAGAUAACAUUAUUGGCAAUGUCUAGAAAGUUCUGUCUAAGGAGAGGUUUGGUCACCUAAUUGCGCGCUAGUAAGGAGAAAUCCUUAUUAGAAAGCCCCCUCUUUCCUGGGAACGGUCUGGUUGUCGAUAUUGUAGUUCUGUAAUAUUAUUUGUGAAUAAUUAAUUAUUAAUUUAUAUGAUAAAGAAAAUACUCAUUUUAUGUGGAUAUAGAUGGAGAAAAUUUUUUAAUGUGACAAUUGUUGAAAAUUGAUAUUUUAUCUUUUCUGAUAAAAUAAUUCAUUUAAAUAUAUUAUUAUAAUAUAAUAAUGGUUAUAUUUUUACAAUGAAUGUGGGAUAUAUGAAUAAAUGAGGAGGAAGAGUAUUUUUGUUACUAAAAAUAUUUAAAACAUGUUUUUCAUGUUUGUGGACCCCAUCUCUUGACUGAAAUUUAAUUAUAGCCUGUAAAAUCGUCCGUUUGUGAAUUUUGGUCAAUUUUUGUUUAGAAUUUGAAAAAACUUUCUUCUGCAAAGUUGUAGAGAAUGGAAUUUCCUAUAGAAAGGACAUAAUGUUUGAAUUUUUCUAAUAAAAGGGCUAUUUAUUGUGAAUUAUUGAAGUUCUGGAUUAAUUGAUUCUAAUUUUUUUGGAGUUUUAAAUGAUUUAUGUGAGAAAAAUGUUUCUGGAGUUGUUAUUGAGGUGUGGCUGAUGUUUAGACUAAGUUGGUGUGCGUAGGAAGUUUAAGAAAAAUAAAUUAUUAUUUUAUUAAAUUUUCUGCUUUGGUGUUCUAAGCAUUUUCCUAUAAAUAGGGUGCUUAGGUUAAAAUUGAAAAUCACACCAGAAACUGAAGUUUUCUCUCUCUAUAUUAUCGAGCGUAUUCUUGUGAGUAUUUUGAUACUUUGAGUGUUGCUAUACGGUGCAAGUUCCCUUCAUCACUAUAUCUGGUAUUCCAGUUAGAAGUACAGUCUUUUCAAGGUAAGGGAUGUUAUUUUUUUUAAAUGAUAUUAUUUCUUCUAAUAUCAUUAUGCCGAAUUAUUGGUAAAAUUUUUCUUGUGAAAUUCUUAUCUUUUAGUGUUGAGGUUACUAUUCACGUAUACGGCACUAUUCACGAAUACGACACUAUUCAUAAAAAAAUUAAAUUUUCAUUUUUUGUCCAAAACAUCGAUUAUGGAUACUAGCUUUAAUUGUAUCCAUGUUUUGAUCAUUCUUGAAUUUUACUUCACUAUGGUUAUUUAUGAAGUAUUUCUGAACUUGGACUGUUUAAAGUACGAAUCCUUAAUAUUUAUUCUUUUGUUUCACUGGAUUCAUUUUUUUUAAAAUAUUUUUCAUCAUUCUCAGUCCUAAAUGGUGAUAUUACUAAAUAUCUUUGGCCUGUAGUGCAUAGAUGGUUGAUUUUCUUAUGAAUAUCUUUGGCUCGUAGUGCAAAGAGGAACAGGUGUUGAGAUGAACAUGACCAACUAAUGAAUAUCUUUGGCCUGUAGUGCAAAGAUGAAUAUUUGAUUCAAGAUGUAUAUUGAUUGAUGUUAUAGGGAUAAAAUAUUGAUGAUGGACUUUUAAAUUCAUAGAUGAAAGUAGAUUUCAUUCUCUACGUAACUCUUCUAUGAAUUAUUGUUUCUGCUGCGAAUAUUGAUUUGAAAUUUGUUGUCUAUUGUAUUUUAUCAGAUUUUUCCCUGUUGAAGACUAACGAUAAUUUGUUUUAUAUUAUCUUAGUCAUAAUAUUCUUUACUGAACUAGUUGAGCUCACCUUUUUCUUUUUUGUUCCAUUUUUCUUCUCAGGAGGCGAGAAUGUAGCGAGUUCUAGUCGGGGUGUGGAAUGAUGAUUCUAGAAAGUUGUUUUAGUAGUCCUCACCAUUUUUGUAAAAUAAUGUACCAAUAAUUGUAAUGAGGACUUAUUUGGGUGUGAAUAUUGUCUAGAUGGCAAUAUUUGUAUUUAAACUCACAGUUUAUAUGUUGUAUUAUUAAAGUUGUAGUUGUUUCUGUACCAUGUAAUUGACGACUCAAAAUGGGUGAUGUAUACCUAUUUUGUGAGCGUCACAUAUUUUAUAGAACAGAUGCAGUGAGGAGUGAGGAAUGUCAUUUAGAGAAAGCAACAAUGAAAUUUUCUUUAGCAGUGUUAUCUUUAAUCUUUCUUUUUCAACAUUUGCAUUGAGGAAUGUAAUAAGUUCAACCAAUU